GUAAAUUAUUUAGAGCAUUCCUUCUACUUUGUAAGACAAUAUCUCAAACAAAUGAAGCGACCUAUUUUAUAACGCAAGAGCCGGAAGUAAUGCUUGGGGUUAAUAUGUGCAGUAUAUAUUCAUCCGUGUGAAUGUCAGAAGAACUACAGUUUCACGGAGACUUUAGCUGUUUUGUCUGCUUUCACGAAGACUAUCAAUUUCCAGCAUGAAACAGACCAAACUAUCCACUGGGAAGCGCCUUACAAAACCGAUUCUUUUUGGGACACUGCUCGUAGGUUUGGCCACAGCAUUUAUGAAUAGGCAUUUGUUCAUGGAGGACCUGGCAGAUCUCAGGGAACAGGAGCGAUCCCGAAAUGAGGUCAAGCGACAGGAGGUGCUGGAAAGAAGGCAGAGACAAUUCGAUGAAGUUACAGAGAAGAAGAGUGCAGGGGGCAGCUGAGAUGAACUGAACGGAGGAGACCUGCAGGAAACCAGCACUGACCAGGAACACGUGGGACAUUUUUUGCCAAUAAGAUUUUGUUUGUUGUUGCUAAAAUGGGACAGAAGUUGCAUGGAAAGUCCAUGGGUGAUAAAGCAAGUACAAUUUAGCCAAACAACACAAAGCCUAUAGCUGUUUUGUUGGCAAUAAUAAUUUGAUUGGUUACCUUGAUCAUAUUUAACUGCAACAGUUGGAUUUGCAAGAGGAUUUAACAUCACACAAAUACAAGAAGCAAAUGGUGGAAAUCAGGAAAGAAUGGGCCAAAGCUAGAUGUUCCUAAUUUCUGCCACAAAAAGAUGCUUGGAUUGUAUAAACAUAACAUUUUUAUGAAUAUUUAAUUAACAUUUAAUAUUGAUUUCACCAGUUAAAACAAAAAUAAAUCCGGAUAAAUCAGUUGUUGCACUGUGAUUAUAAUAAUUUUCAUUAAUUGAAAUAAAAUUCAGCUAAAAUAAAAUAUAUUAGAUGA